CAGCAGCCGCGGUAAUACAGAGGGUGCGAGCGUUAAUCGGAUUUACUGGGCGUAAAGCGCGCGUAGGUGGUUUGUUAAGUUGGAUGUGAAAUCCCCGGGCUCAACCUGGGAACUGCAUCCAAAACUGGCAAGCUAGAGUAUGGUAGAGGGUGGUGGAAUUUCCUGUGUAGCGGUGAAAUGCGUAGAUAUAGGAAGGAACACCAGUGGCGAAGGCGACCACCUGGACUGAUACUGACACUGAGGUGCGAAAGCGUGGGGAGCAAACAGGAUUAGAUACCCGGGUAGUCCCUGUCUCUUAUAC
rnacentral:rRNA from 1 species